AGGGAGCUAGUCCAAAAUAAGACCUCUGACUUCGGCCCAGAAAACCGUGGUUCAAUUCCACGGCUCCCCU
rnacentral:tRNA from 1 species